rnacentral:rRNA from 1 species
AUUGAACGCUGGCGGCAUGCUUUACACAUGCAAGUCGAACGGCAGCGCGGGCUUCGGCCUGGCGGCGAGUGGCGAACGGGUGAGUAAUAUAUCGGAACGUACCCAAGAGUGGGGGAUAACGUAGCGAAAGUUACGCUAAUACCGCAUACGAUCUAAGGAUGAAAGCAGGGGAUCGCAAGACCUUGUGCUCCUGGAGCGGCCGAUAUCUGAUUAGCUAGUUGGUGGGGUAAAGGCCCACCAAGGCAACGAUCAGUAGCUGGUCUGAGAGGACGACCAGCCACACUGGAACUGAGACACGGUCCAGACUCCUACGGGAGGCAGCAGUGGGGAAUUUUGGACAAUGGGCGCAAGCCUGAUCCAGCAAUGCCGCGUGAGUGAAGAAGGCCUUCGGGUUGUAAG